CGGAGGGAUCAUUAAAGAGUUCUAUAACUCCCAAACCCAUGUGAACAUACCAAACGUUGCCUCGGCAGGUCGCACCUACCUUGUAGCACCCUAUCCUGUAGGGCCUACCCGGGACGUGCGGGUAAGCCUGCCGGCGGCCCAUUCAACUCUGUUUGAUAUUGAAUUCUGAACCUAUAACUAAAUAAGUUAAAACUUUCAACAACGGAUCUCUUGGUUCUGGCAUCGAUGAAGAACGCAGCGAAAUGCGAUAAGUAAUGUGAAUUGCAGAAUUCAGUGAAUCAUCGAAUCUUUGAACGCAUAUUGCGCCCAUUAGUAUUCUAGUGGGCAGGACCGUUCGAGCGUCAUUUCGACCCUUAAGCCUUAGUUGCUUAGUGUUGGGAGCCUACGGCGACGUAGCUCCUCAAAGUUAGUGGCGGAGUUGGUUCACACUCUAGACGUAGUAAUUUUUUAUCUCGCCUAUCAGUUGGACCGAUCCCCUGCCGUAAAACCCCCAACUUCUCAAGGUUGACCUCGAAUCGGUUCAGACAAACUCGCUAAAUUGAAGCAUCUUAGUCAGCGAAGGAAAAGAAACCAACAGGGAUUGCCCUAGUAACGGCGAGUGAAGCGGCAACAGCUCAAAUUUGAAAUCUGGCCCUCGGGUCCGAGUUGUAAUUUGU
rnacentral:rRNA from 1 species